rnacentral:lncRNA from 10 species
CGUGGAGAGGAGAUCGUGGAGACAGUGUACUCAGCAGGACAGCAACGUCCUCUGGGUGGCUGCUGCGUCAGGGCAGGCCAGGCUCCUCAAGGUGCUUGCCGCACAGGAGAAAGCGAAGGCAUUCUGGUUUCCAUGGUAACUGUAACUGUGGCUCUUACUUGGUUUGGUGCAGGUUUUCUGAGUGUUUAAGAAAUAAUUGCAGGAGGAAGGUGCUGCGGCAGGGCUGGAGGUCGUGCGUGGGCAGACGGGGCAAGAGUUACUCCUGUUUGGGUGGCUGGUGAGAACUGGCUGGGAGAGUUGGUCUACCUGAGGAACUAACUGCAGGACUGGAUCUGCAGAUGUAACUUGCUUCUCCUUGCCUUCUGCUAUGAUUGUGGGGCCUCUCCAGCUACAUGGAACUAUAUAGAAAUAGGACAGACAAACAGAGUGGGACGAGAAAAUUCCUUCAAGAAUCACAGUUGUUGUGGAUCUCAAGGUGAUGCAGAUUCUGGCACAGAAAGGGAAGCACCAGCCCUGUUCUCUCCAUUCCACAUGGCAGUUCCUUCCUCUCUCAGGGAUGACUGCAGUCUUCUGCCAGGCCUGGGGUUUUCUACUUCUAGCCUGGGAACUAGGAGUAAUAAGCACGACAGAGCGAUCUGCACUUGCGUCGAAGAGCUGCAUUCCGUUCCAGUGGCUUUGGACUAGAAAAUCUCCUUCCCUGUUCAUUCAGCAAGAUGAGGCAAGAGUUGUCCUGGUCAUCCAACAACAUAGGGCAUAAAGGGUCUUCCCAUGUCAUCAUCUGCUGUUAUCUGGUACACUUUCCUCUCAACCUCCGUUCCUGUAGGUACACAUGCAUGACUGGACCUCAUCCCUUCUACCCACAGAACUCAACAGUCGUCUAUUUGAGAACCAGCAGGAGGUCAUAUUCUAUAUGUCCACAUAUGUAUCUGGGGAGACUGGCUGGCUGCAAGGCUUUGUAACCACCUUCCAGGCAGAUGACAAGAUGGAACCUUCUCAACAUACACCUCAGUUAAAAGUCAAGUCAAUAAAAGCCUGGCUGCAUGAAAGAGGAUGAUACAUAAAGACUGGCUGUAUACCUUUGUUUGAUCUGAGUAAGAAAUGCGUGCAUUCAAUGAGGCCACUGAGUUUAUGAUCAAACCUCCUCGUAAAGAAUAGAGCACAGAGAAACCCAUAUUCUUACCGUGUGACAAAUGAGACUGCGAACGUGGACCCUUCUUUAAAACUCCAGCUAAUUCAGGUUGCAGAAUGAAGUGUGCCAUGUCAUAAUUAAUCCCUCAUGUAUUGCAAGCAAUUUAAUGUCAAAAUAAUCAACAGGAGCGUUUUUUACCCUUUUGUGAGUACAUAAUAAAUACUGUCAUUUAGCUGCAGCAAACAUCGGGUUUCUUUCCUGGUCUUUGAAUAACACUCCUCGUGAGGUAAAUACCAGAUCUCCUUCUCCAUCUCCCCACACCCCCAAGCCCUACAAACC